rnacentral:rRNA from 1 species
CUCCUACGGGACGCAGCAGUGGGGAAUAUUGGACAAUGGGGGGAGCCCUGAUCCAGCGACGCCGCGUGAGUGAAGAAGUAUUUCGGUAUGUAAAGCUCUAUCAGCAGGGAAGAAAAUGACGGUACCUGAAGAAGAAGCCCCGGCUAACUACGUGCCAGCAGCCGCGGUAAUACGUAGGGGGCAAGCGUUAUCCGGAUUUACUGGGUGUAAAGGGGGCGCAGACGGCGAGGCAAGCCAGGAGGGAAAGCCCGGGGCCCAACCCCGGGAACGUCCUUGGAA